GGGAAUGUGGCUUAGUGGUAGAGCGCUUGCCUAGCAUGCACGAAGCCCUGGGUUCAAUACCUCAGUACCA
rnacentral:tRNA from 1 species